CCAAGAAGCCCAUGAUUGCUGCCCUUCCUGUCUAUCAUCCCUUUACAAAAUCCUCUCCUCCAAACCUGAGCUGCAUGCUGUCAGAGCUAAUAAUGUCUUCUAAAGAAAAGGGGAAGAAACAGCAUUCAUGCACAAUGUUCCCAUUUAUUACAUAGAGUGCUUAUUUAAAAAUUGCAAAUAUCUUUGUUUGGUUCACUGCAAAUUAAAACCAAGAUGUAGGAAGUUACACGAUGCAACAAUUAUUCAUGUCACAGCAGAGCAUCAAACCCUCGUAUCUUGCUCUUCUAUUGGUUAACGCAUGUGUGUGUGCGUGUGCGUGCGCUGUGUGUGUGUAACGCAGGGAAUAUCCCUUGUUGUGAAAAUAAAAACCACUUCAGGGGCUGCAGUACCGCUGGCUCCUGCUUGGCACGGUGGAGGAGGCAGCACAACUAGCCCUGACCCGGGUCAGCAAGAACCUCUCAAGUUCGGAGCAAUGUCCUGAAAACUUGUCUAAAACUUCUUUUACCGACGGGCCAUAGGCCACCCGACGGAAAGAAUCCGAAGACACAAAUCACGACUAAUUUUCCUCAUUUUUUAUCCGUACAUAUCCAUGUAGAAUCAAGGGAACCCUUUAAAGUUUAGUUUAAAGGCGGCGAGCUCCACGGAAGACUUCUUGCCCUGUUCUAGCUGAGGGCUGCAGGCAGACCGUUUGAUUUAUUUUCAUUUUUCAAAGGAAUGGAGAAAGUCCUCCGAUUAGCAGUGGUGUUAUUAUAAUCUCCAUUCUUAAACCCUGAAAGACCCUUGUAAACAAUCGGCUCCUUCUCCCAACCCAGUUCCCAACGCCGCCCGGUAAUGACGGGAAGAUUAAUGAAGCUUUUUUAGCAACACCUGUCUUUUUAAGCUGUCGACACAACCAAUUAAUACUUUUAAUUACCGCUACAAGGAAACUAACCAGAACCUUUCUGAUUUGAUUUGGCAGCUGAAUUUUAACCCCUCUGAAGCGGAGCCGCCCCAACGCCAGGCAGGGCGGCCGGGGAGGAGGGGAGGAUAGUUUUGCUGCGGGUUCAUUUCGCCUCGGGCUGGAUGGGGGGGUUAUUUCUCUAGUGGGGAGAGCCAACUCUUUUCGGUUUAUCUCGCUUUGCUUUUCCCCGAGCCUUUGCGAGUAUUUUGCCAUCCCUUUCGAGAACAGGAAAAUACAAGCGCUUGCUGGCGAGACCCCGGGGUGCACAGGUCCCCCGGGAUGACGGCCGGGGACAGCGGGAGAAUGGCUGGAGGGAGCAGCAGCAGCU
rnacentral:lncRNA from 1 species